rnacentral:rRNA from 1 species
AACGUAGGAGACGAGCGUUAUCCGGAUUUACUGGGCGUAAAGCGUGUGCAGGCGGUUUGGCAAGUUGGAUGUGAAAUCUCCCGGCUCAACUGGGAUGGGUCGUUCAAUACUACCGAACUUGAGGGCAUCAGAGGAAGGUGGAAUUCCCGGUGUAGUGGUGAAAUGCGUAGAUAUCGGGAGGAACACCAGUGGCGAAGGCGGCCUUCUGGGAUGUUUCUGACGCUCAUACACGAAAGCUAGGGGAGCGAACGGG